CACGUAGGGCGCAAGCGUUGUCCGGAAUUAUUGGGCGUAAAGAGCUCGUAGGCGGUCUGUUGCGUCCGCUGUGAAAUCUCGGGGCUUAACCCCGAGCCUGCAGUGGAUACGGGCAGACUAGAGGUAGGUAGGGGAGAAUGGAAUUCCCGGUGUAGCGGUGAAAUGCGCAGAUAUCGGAAGGAACACCGGUGGCGAAGGCGGUUCUCUGGGCCUUACCUGACGCUGAGGAGCGAAAGCGUGGGGAGCGAACAGG
rnacentral:rRNA from 1 species